rnacentral:lncRNA from 12 species
CCCUUCCCCAGGCUGAGCAUUCCCCCAGCACGAACAGCAGGCUGUCACUGCCCAGGGACACAGGUGACACAGGUGACACAGGUGACACAGGUCCCUCCAGAGCCAUCCUGGGCAGUGCCAGCCCUGCUCCCACUCUGCACACACAGUCCCUGGGCUGAGCUGUGUCCCUGUGCCACGUUCCCAGCCGAUCCUGCAGCACCAUGUGAUCCCUGCCCAGGAUCACAAGGCUCUUUUUAACUUCACCCACAUCCCCAUUUCCAGACACACAACUCUCUCCAUCCAUUCCUUUGGCUUUUUCCAGCAUCCAAAAUUGUCCCUGUGCCUGAUCCUCUGCCACUCCCACUCUGCAUCACCCCAGCUACAGGACAGCCUGGACACUGCUCUCUUAAAAACCCAUUUUCCCUGCAGGAAUGACACUGAGGGGCUCUGCCUUCCAGUCACCAGAGCAGGGCCUUGCAAAAGGCUGAAGACCCAAAUUUCCUCAUCAGAUUUUAAAUCUCUCUGUUCUUCAUGGUGUAACUUCCACACUGAAGCUCCAGGUGAAGCAUUCACAGAACCAGGACAUGGAACAGGGGGAACACUGAGAUUUUUUUACAUGUCAAGAUUUUCCCACCCAGAAUCCUGAGGACAGCUCUGGAGACCACCUGGAGGGGUGCAGGGAAUGGAGGUGGGAAGGGGCUGGGGGAGCUGGGAAUGGGCUGGGUCUCAAUACCUACAAUAAGAACUUAGGUUUUCUAUAAAAGAUAAGAAAAAAUAAACUGCACUUUCUGAAGCAACUACAAGUCCCAUCUCUCUGCCUCAUUCAGGGAAAAAAACAAAUUGUGGGAGCAAUAAGCCCAGAACAAAAUCUGUGGAGCAGCUCUCAAGCAGCACUUGGGUGGAAUUCUUGCUGCCCACCUGCCCAUGAGCAGGGAUUUGGGAGAGCAAAGGGAUGGGAGCAAAGGAGCAGCUGGAGAGGGAAUAAAAAUCAGCUGCUGGUGGGUUCAAAGCUCCCAAAAACCAUUUCAGGUGGAAAAGCACUGGGGAGAGACUCCUGAAAUGGGAACUGGGCAGAGGAACAAAGUCAAGGAAUGUUGGGGAAGGACAAAGGAACUUGGAAUAACUUGGAAGAAAUCGUGUCCAGCAAGGCCUUUUUUGUUCUAAUUGGGGCGUCCUUGUGAAAUCAAUCCCUGUUUUUUAUAACUGCCCCAACCCAGCCCCACUGGGGGUUCCAUUGUCACACUGAUUCUCCUCUUCCUCUAGCCACUAAUGAGAGCUUUAAUUAGGAAUGCAGGAGUCAUUUAAACACCUCCUGUCCAACCCCAAAGUUGGCUGUUUGAAUUCAAACCUCAUCCAAGU